UUUCCGUAGGUGAACCUGCGGAAGGAUCAUUAUUGUAUAACCGAGGCGCGAGGGCUCUGGCUGACAAGACAUGUCGUGCACGCCCGAGUUUCCUCACACUCACACAUGUCACCCCUAUGAGCACCUCCGCGUGGGUCCCCUUUAGACUUGUUGGGAUGGGGGCUUACGGUUUCACAGAAACUUUGUGUGCGGUGUAGUAUGUAUUUAUUGUUUUUGCGAACACGCAAUCAAAACAACUGUCAGCAAUUGAAACCUUUGAUCUCGCAUCGAUGAAGAACC
rnacentral:misc_RNA from 1 species